AUUGAACGCUGGCGGCAGGCCUAACACAUGCAAGUCGAACGAGCGGCGGACGGGUGAGUAAUGUCUGGGAAACUGCCUGAUGGAGGGGGAUAACUACUGGAAACGGUAGCUAAUACCGCAUACCAUCAGAUGUGCCCAGAUGGGAUGAGCGUGUUGGUGGGGUAACGGCGCAACAAGGCGACGAUCCCUAGCUGGUAUGAGAGGAUGACCAGCCACACUGGAAUUGAGACACGGGCCAGACUCCUGCGGGAGGCAGCAGUGGGGAAUAUUGCACAAUGGGCGCAAGCCUGAUGCAGCCAUGCGGCGGGUAUGAAGAAGGCCUGCGGGUUGUAAAGUACUGUCAGCGGGGAGGCGUUACCCGCAGAAGAAGCACCGGCUAACUCCGUGCCAGCAGCCGCGGUAAUUC
rnacentral:rRNA from 1 species